rnacentral:rRNA from 1 species
GAUUCCCCCAGUAGCGGCGAGCGAACGGGGAGGAGCCCAGAGCCUGAAUCAGUGUGUGUGUUAGUGGAAGCGUCUGGAAAGGCGCGCGAUACAGGGUGACAGCCCCGUACACAAAAAUGCACAUACUGUGAGCUCGAUGAGUAGGGCGGGACACGUGGUAUCCUGUCUGAAUAUGGGGGGACCAUCCUCCAAGGCUAAAUACUCCUGACUGACCGAUAGUGAACCAGUACCGUGAGGGAAAGGCGAAAAGAACCCCGGCGAGGGGAGUGAAAAAGAACCUGAAACCGUGUACGUACAAGCAGUGGGAGCACGCUUCGGCGUGUGACUGCGUACCUUUUGUAUAAUGGGUCAGCGACUUAUAUUCUGUAGCAAGGUUAACCGAAUAGGGGAGCCGAAGGGAAACCGAGUCUUAACUGGGCGUUAAGUUGCAGGGUAUAGACCCGAAACCCGGUGAUCUAGCCAUGGGCAGGUUGAAGGUUGGGUAACACUAACUGGAGGACCGAACCGACUAAUGUUGAAAAAUUAGCGGAUGACUUGUGGCUGGGGGUGAAAGGCCAAUCAAACCGGGAGAUAGCUGGUUCUCCCCGAAAGCUAUUUAGGUAGCGCCUCGUGAAUUCAUCUCCGGGGGUAGAGCACUGUUUCGGCAAGGGGGUCAUCCCGACUUACCAACCCGAUGCAAACUGCGAAUACCGGAGAAUGUUAUCACGGGAGACACACGGCGGGUGCUAACGUCCGUCGUGAAGAGGGAAACAACCCAGACCGCCAGCUAAGGUCCCAAAGUCAUGGUUAAGUGGGAAACGAUGUGGGAAGGCCCAGACAGCCAGGAUGUUGGCUUAGAAGCAGCCAUCAUUUAAAGAAAGCGUAAUAGCUCACUGGUCGAGUCGGCCUGCGCGGAAGAUGUAACGGGGCUAAACCAUGCACCGAAGCUGCGGCAGCGACACUAUGUGUUGUUGGGUAGGGGAGCG